CAAGAGCCAGAUGCUCAACUGACUGAGCCACCGAGGCUCCCUACUGUCCAAGAUGUGGGAGCCAUGAGGAGAGGGGCAGAGUAAUCCUGGACAAGGCCAUCCUACUAGUCAGCCCCCAGCCAUCCUGCCAGCUGACCACAGAUGCAUGAACAAGCCCAGAGCUGCCUGGAGUCAUUUCCUGCAGGAAUUUCACGUCUUCCCAUUGAAGUGUUCCAGCAGCUGGUAACCAAAUCAUCAACUCAGGCCAUGGGUGAUUCUCCAGGCUCCAAUUACAAAUCAGAAGGAAUAAAGCAGUCUGCAUAUUUCCCACGUUGGGUGAGGACACAUUGACUUCUGGAGAGCUUGAAUCAAUAAGCUGAAAGAAAAGUUCAAACUCCAAUUUCAGAAGAACUUGGCUUCUGCGUGUUAAACUAUGGAUUCAUAGGUUCUUCUGCCUUGUGGGUCUUCUGCUCUCUGCUGUCCUUGACAGCUCGCACCAAGCUGAUCACUGGGGACAUCAAUGGACUUCUGAAUGAAGACAUUGUCUGACAAGUAUAAUAGACGAGCAUGAAACGCAUACUGUUCUGCUCUUUUGAAUAUAUUACAUUUAUUGAGAACUACAAUUAAGUUAUGUAUUUUUAUCAGUAAAGCACUUUAUUGAUUGCGGACGUGAAGCUGAGUUCUUUCAUGUUUUGGUCAGCUCUAAGGACACAUGCACCUAGUGGUUCAAAACAAAUUGACUGGCAUGAUUACUGAGCCUGUGAUGAAUUGUAAGUGUAUAGAAAUAUCGAACAUUGGAGUGCGUUAUUCUGUACAACAUUUGUUCUAAUUUUGUGUUCAUUUUAAUGAUAAAUGAAACAAAUUAAUAGAA